rnacentral:miRNA from 13 species
UCCUGCCGCCGCAUCCGCCAACAAGGAGGCCGGGACCGCCGGAUCCGGUGACUCCGGCCUCCUCGCCGGCAGAUCCGGCCGUUGUGA